UACGGAGGGUGCAAACGUUGCUCGGAAUCAUUGGGCGUAAAGCGCACGUAGGCGGCUCGUUAAGUCGGAUGUGAAAGCCCUCGGCUCAACCGAGGAAGUGCAUACGAAACUGGCGAGCUUGAAUAUGGAAGAGGGUCGCGGAAUUCCCGGUGUAGAGGUGAAAUUCGUAGAUAUCGGGAGGAACACCAGUGGCGAAGGCGGCGACCUGGGCCAAUAUUGACGCUGAGGUGCGAAAGCGUGGGGAGCAAACGGG
rnacentral:rRNA from 1 species